rnacentral:rRNA from 1 species
AGAGUUUGAUCCUGGCUCAGGAUGAACGCUAGCUACAGGCUUAACACAUGCAAGUCGAGGGGCAGCAUGGUCUUAGCUUGCUAAGGCCGAUGGCGUCCGGCGCACGGGUGAGUAACACGUAUCCAACCUGCCGUCUACUCUUGGACAGCCUUCUGAAAGGAAGAUUAAUACAAGAUGGCAUCAUGAGUCCGCAUGUUCACAUGAUUAAAGGUAUUCCGGUAGACGAUGGGGAUGCGUUCCAUUAGAUAGUAGGCGGGGUAACGGCCCACCUAGUCUUCGAUGGAUAGGGGUUCUGAGAGGAAGGUCCCCCACAUUGGAACUGAGACACGGUCCAAACUCCUACGGGAGGCAGCAGUGAGGAAUAUUGGUCAAUGGGCGAGAGCCUGAACCAGCCAAGUAGCGUGAAGGAUGACUGCCCUAUGGGUUGUAAACUUCUUUUAUAAAGGAAUAAAGUCGGGUAUGCAUACCCGUUUGCAUGUACUUUAUGAAUAAGGAUCGGCUAACUCCGUGCCAGCAGCCGCGGUAAUACGGAGGAUCCGAGCGUUAUCCGGAUUUAUUGGGUUUAAAGGGAGCGUAGAUGGAUGUUUAAGUCAGUUGUGAAAGUUUGCGGCUCAACCGUAAAAUUGCAGUUGAUACUGGAUGUCUUGAGUGCAGUUGAGGCAGGCGGAAUUCGUGGUGUAGCGGUGAAAUGCUUAGAUAUCACGAAGAACUCCGAUUGCGAAGGCAGCCUGCUAAGCUGCAACUGACAUUGAGGCUCGAAAGUGUGGGUAUCAAACAGGAUUAGAUACCCUGGUAGUCCACACGGUAAACGAUGAAUACUCGCUGUUUGCGAUAUACUGCAAGCGGCCAAGCGAAAGCGUUAAGUAUUCCACCUGGGGAGUACGCCGGCAACGGUGAAACUCAAAGGAAUUGACGGGGGCCCGCACAAGCGGAGGAACAUGUGGUUUAAUUCGAUGAUACGCGAGGAACCUUACCCGGGCUUAAAUUGCAGAUGAAUUACGGUGAAAGCCGUAAGCCGCAAGGCAUCUGUGAAGGUGCUGCAUGGUUGUCGUCAGCUCGUGCCGUGAGGUGUCGGCUUAAGUGCCAUAACGAGCGCAACCCUUGUUGUCAGUUACUAACAGGUUCUGCUGAGGACUCUGACAAGACUGCCAUCGUAAGAUGUGAGGAAGGUGGGGAUGACGUCAAAUCAGCACGGCCCUUACGUCCGGGGCUACACACGUGUUACAAUGGGGGGUACAGAGGGCCGCUACCACGCGAGUGGAUGCCAAUCCCAAAAACCUCUCUCAGUUCGGACUGGAGUCUGCAACCCGACUCCACGAAGCUGGAUUCGCUAGUAAUCGCGCAUCAGCCACGGCGCGGUGAAUACGUUCCCGGGCCUUGUACACACCGCCCGUCAAGCCAUGGGAGCCGGGGGUACCUGAAGUGCGUAACCGCGAGGAGCGCCCUAGGGUAAAACUGGUGACUGGGGCUAAGUCGUAACAAGGUAGCC